rnacentral:rRNA from 1 species
CGUCAAGUCAUCAUGCCCCUUAUGUCCAGGGCUUCACACAUGCUACAAUGGCCGGUACAAAGGGCUGCGAUGCCGUGAGGUGGAGCGAAUCCUUUAAAGCCGGUCUCAGUUCGGAUCGGGGUCUGCAACUCGACCCCGUGAAGUCGGAGUCGCUAGUAAUCGCAGAUCAGCAACGCUGCGGUGAAUACGUUCCCGGGCCUUG